rnacentral:siRNA from 1 species
AUAUCACGCCUCAUUCACUCGAGA